rnacentral:rRNA from 1 species
AUUGAACGCUGGCGGCAUGCCUUACACAUGCAAGUCGAACGUGAAAGGGGGGCAACCCCCGAGUAGAGUGGCGGACGGGUGAGCAACACAUCGGAACGUACCCAGUAGUGGGGGACAACCUCGAGAAAUCGAGGCUAAUACCGCAUACGACCCACGGGUGAAGGCGGGGGACCGCAAGGCCUCGCGCUAUUGGAGCGGCCGAUGUCCGAUUAGCUUGUUGGUGGGGUAACGGCCCACCAAGGCGACGAUCGGUAGCUGGUCUGAGAGGAUGAUCAGCCACACUGGGACUGAGACACGGCCCAGACUCCUACGGGAGGCAGCAGGUGGGGAAUUUUGGACAAUGGGGGCAACCCUGAUCCAGCCAUGCCGCGUGCGGGAAGAAGGCCUUCGGUUGUAACCG